GACGAACGCUGGCGGCGUGCUUAACACAUGCAAGUCGAACGGAAAGGCCCUGCUUGCCGGGUACUCGAGUGGCGAACGGGUGAGUAACACGUGGGUGAUCUGCCCUGCACUUCGGGAUAAGCCUGGGAAACUGGGUCUAAUACCGGAUAGGAGCCAUUUUUAGUGUGAUGGUUGGAAAGUUUUUUCGGUGUAGGAUGAGCUCGCGGCCUAUCAGCUUGUUGGUGGGGUAAUGGCCUACCAAGGCGGCGACGGGUAGCCGGCCGGAGAGGGUGGACGGCCACAUUGGGACUGAGAUACGGCCCAGACUCCGACGGGAGGCAGCAGUGGGGAAUAUUGCACAAUGGGCGCAAGCCUGAUGCAGCGACGCCGCGUGGGGGAUGACGGCCUUCGGGUUGGAAACUCCUUUCGCUAGGGACGAAGCUUUUUGUGACGGUACCUAGAUAAGAAGCACCGGCUAACUACGUG
rnacentral:rRNA from 1 species